rnacentral:lncRNA from 1 species
GUGGGAUUCAUUCCAGGGAUGCAAGUUUGGUUCAACAUACAGAAAUCAAUAAAUGAAAUUCAUCACAUCAAUAGACUCAAAGGUAAGAAUCAUAUAAUCAUCUCAAAAGAUGCAUAAAAAGCAUUUGACAAAAUACAGCACCCUUUGUGUUCAAAACACUAGAAAAACUAGGGAUAACAGGAACAUAUCUUAACAUCCUAAAGGCUAUCUAUGCUAAGCCUCAGGCCAACAUCAUUCUAAAUGGAGAAAAGUUGAAGGCAUUCCCUCUAAAAACUGGAACAGACAGGGAUGCCCUCUUUCACCACUUCUAUUCAACAUAAUCCUGAAACACUGGCCAGAGCAAUUAGACAAAUGAAAGACAUUAAAGGGAUAUGUAUACGGAAAGAAGAAUUUAAAUUAGCACUAUUUGCUGACAAUAUGAUUCUAUAUCUAGAAGAACCAAAAAUCUCCACCAGAAAACUUUUAGAACUAGUAAAUGAAUUCAUCAAAGUAGCAGGAUAUAAAAUCAACACCCAUAAAUCAAAGGCAUUUCUGUAUAUCAGUGACAAAUCCUCUGAGAAGGAAAAGACGAAAACUACCCCAUUCACAAUGACCUUAAAAAAAAAAGAUACUUGGUAAUCAACUUAAUGAAAGAGGUGAAAGAUCUAUACAAUGAAAAUUACAGAACCCUAAAGAGAGAAAUCAAAGAAGACCUUAGAAUAUGGAAAGAUCUACCUUGCUCUUGGAUAGGCAGAAUUAAUAUUAUCAAAAUGAUACCAAAAGCACUAUACAGAUUUAAUACAAUUCUGAUCAAAAUCCCAAUGGCAUUCCUCAUAGAAGUAGAAAAAGCAAUCAUGAAAUUCAUGUGGAAAAAUAAUAAACCCAAAAUAGCUAAAGCAAUCCUUAGCAGGAAGAGUGAAGAAGGUGGCAUCGCUAUACCAGACCUUAAACUAUACUACAGAGCAAUAGUAACA